rnacentral:rRNA from 1 species
UACGUAGGGUGCAAGCGUUGUCCGGAAUUAUUGGGCGUAAAGAGCUCGUAGGCGGUUUGUCGCGUCUGCUGUGAAAACUCGGGGCUUAACCCCGGGCCUGCAGUGGGUACGGGCAGACUAGAGUGCGGUAGGGGAGACUGGAAUUCCUGGUGUAGCGGUGAAAUGCGCAGAUAUCAGGAGGAACACCGAUGGCGAAGGCAGUUCUCUGGGCCGUUACUGACGCUGAGGAGCGAAAGCGUGGGGAGCGAACAGG